rfam:Salmo salar isolate Sally breed double haploid chromosome ssa06, whole genome shotgun sequence.
UGAAUACACUACCUGUAAGUCGCUCUGGAUAAGAGCAUCUGCUAAAUGACUAAAA